rnacentral:ncRNA from 1 species
AGCCUAAAAGAGGGAGAUGGUUCUUCGAAGGCUCGAGUCUAGAAGAUUAAAAGGGAACACGGUGCGAUGUACCCAUCAGGGAUCUAUACCGUGGCUGCCCCCGCAACUGUAAGCGCAAAUGUGCCGUCUAUAUCCACUGGAUCUUUUUAAAGAGACCGGGAAGGAAGACGGGGCGAAAAAGCGCAAGCCAGGAUACCUGCCAUAGUCAAACCGAAUGAU